UGAAGUUUUCGGAUGGAUUUAAAACAGCUUAGUGGCGGACGGGUGAGUAACGCGUGGGUAACCUGCCUCAUACAGGGGGAUAACAGUUAGAAAUGACUGCUAAUACCGCAUAAGCGCACAGUACCGCAUGAAGCAGUGUGAAAAACUCCGGUGGUACAAGAUGGACCCGCGUCUGAUUAGCUAGUUGGUGAGAUAACAGCCCACCAAGGCGACGAUCAGUAGCCGGCCUGAGAGGGUGAACGGCCACAUUGGGACUGAGACACGGCCCAAACUCC
rnacentral:rRNA from 1 species